rnacentral:rRNA from 1 species
UACGGGGAGAGGCAAGCGUUGUUCCGGAAUCAUUGGGCGUAAAGCGCGUGUAGGCGGCCCGAUAAGUCCGCCGUGAAAGCCCAGGGCUCAACCCUGGGAUGCCGGUGGAAACUGUCGGGCUAGAGUCCGGAAGAGGCGAGUGGAAUUCCUGGUGUAGCGGUGAAAUGCGCAGAUAUCAGGAGGAACACCAAUGGCGAAAGCAGCUCUCUGGGACGGUACUGACGCUGAGACGCGAAAGCGUGGGGAGCGAACAGG